UACGUAGGGGGCAAGCGUUGUCCGGAUUUACUGGGCGUAAAGCGCGCGUAGGCGGAACUUCAAGUCCGGUCUGAAAGCCCCCGGCUCAACCGGGGAGGGUGGCUGGAAACUGGGGUUCUUGAGGGCGAGAGAGGAGGGUGGAAUUCCUGGUGUAGCGGUGAAAUGCGUAGAGAUCAGGAGGAACACCCGGGGCGAAGGCGGCCCUCUGGCUCAACCCUGACGCUGAGGCGCGAAAGCGUGGGGAGCGAACGGG
rnacentral:rRNA from 1 species